UACUUGUAGAUAUUUGUGUUAUCUCUACACAUAUAUUUCUUGACUUUAAUAAUAAUGAUGACAGAGUUCCACACUCAUUUGUACUUAAAAAGUGCUUAAGAAUUUUUAAUUGUACAUUACUUUACUGGGUAAAUUUUAUUCUAGCAAAUGAAUGUUCAUUUUAUUAGCUGUUUCCUGUGUUAGGAAGUUUCUUUAACAGCAGUUUUUACUUAUCUUUUUUACAAAGUUACCCAACCCUCUCAGUCUCUGUGUGGAGGGAGUGUCCCUACCCCUGCCCCGCUGCAGGUAGACCUGUGCAGCCAGGAAUGGUGACAUCCUGGGGCAGGAGAGAUCUUGAUCUGUAGUUUAAUGGAUGCAAUCCUGAUCUGGGACUGGGGGAAAGAAAUUUACUCCUUGAUGCCCAAGUAAACUCUUGGGUCUUUGCUUUUGUUCUUUAGUGACUCUAAAGUAAAAUGCUGAAGCAGACCAUGGGACUUAAUGGUGAAAUUGGUUUUCCCUUUCCUCUGCUUUGUACCACCUGCAGAGCCUCCAGUGUGCGAUCCAGAGCACAUAGAUUCAGGUGGAAGAGCUUCCACUGACCUGGCCCUCUGGUUUCUUCCCCUCAUCUCGCUGAACGGGGUGCUGCAAGUCCCCUGCCCUCACCCAACACGCUGGAGAGGCUGCAGCUGAGCAGGGGGAGCAGCAUCGGGUCAUCUGAAUCUGGCAUGCUGGUGCGAGCUGCAAUUUUCUCAUGUUGUCUGCCUCAGGGAAAUCUGGCCAUCUCCGGAGAAAGUGUGAGCUGGAGCACGGCACUAAGAAUCUCUGUGAAAUAAACCACGAGAAACACCAGCCAGGGAAGUCCUUUGGGACCCAUCAGGACUUCCUAACAGAGCGGUGCUACUUCUAGGAUGUAUUAAGAGUCAUUAUUUUGUAAAAUUUCAAAACAAAUCCAACAGCAUAAAUCCCAAAGUUUGAUUUGCUGUCUAUGCAGUCAUGUUUGUCAUCUUUUUAGAAAAGCCCCAGUGUAAAGAAAAUCUUUUUUUCCUGGCUUGAAAUGAAAUUACAACUGGAAAGCAGAGUGAUGAGAGGAACAUGGAGUUCAACUGUCACAAGUAAAAGUGUUUUCUGAGUUGGACCUAGUUUGGGAACCCUCAAAAUAUUUAAAGGAAUCUUUAGUACUUCCAACACACACUGUGAAAUAAUUAAAAUAGAUGGACUUGCCAAUAUUUAUGAUAUUUCCAAGGGUAAUGGCUGCCCAGGCAAGGAGGAGGGCUAGCAGCAGAAGCCAUGUACCCUGUGACAGUGGUUGGCCCAGGACCACAGGAGGGACAUCAGCUCUGUGGAUGACCAUGAGGGUCCAGCAGUUCACUCCACGGAGUGAGCCACCCAGAGAUGGGCUCUGCAGUGAGAACAGCCUGUGUGUGGGUUUAGUUCCUCAGAGCAAUGGGUGGCAGUAGCUGGGCAGAGUCAGCUUGACGUGGAGGAUAAAUUCCAGCUGCUUCCAAAUAGCAUGGAAAUGAGGUUCCUUUGCAAGAUGGCAAGAGAUUUUAAGAGCAAAGACUAGGAAAUCAGCUGGAGCUGAGAGGAGGUACUUUCAUCAGGUUAAUAUUGGGUUUUCUUUGCUUUAGUAAAGCAGAGUUUACAGAUUUCAUUCUGGUGCCUCCUGAGAGCUUGUCCCCUAGAGUCUUUCACAAGUUUUCCUCACGCAAAUAUCCAAACGGAAUGCUUCUCCCCCACUUCCUCUUUCCCCCUUGAAAAAAACUCAGAAUUUUUACAGGUUUUCCUGUAUUAUAUUUUUGCAAGUAUAUUUAAUUAUAUAUUUUUAAUUGUACGCUAUUAUACUUUUGUAUUUUUCUAUAUUAAGUAUUAUAUGUUGUAUCUUUUGUUGUAUUUGUAUUCAGUAAUUUCAUGACGUGUCAGUAGAAAUGUGAUUCAGGCUAGUGGAAACAUCACCACAACAUGUAAUAGCUGUAACACCUCACAUUCUGCUUUUAGAGUCAAAAGGACCAGCUUUGAACUGACGAUAGCAAAAUGUCUCCUCUUCCUCUUCUAAUGAAACCCCCUGAUAUCCUUCCAAACAAGCGCACUUGUGGCUAAUGGGAACAAGCACAAAAGCAUAAAACCACAAAUGAAAUUUAAAAUGAAAUCUCAAUUUGCAGAACAACAUUACCUGUUUUCCAAGACAAAUGCCAGAGAAGCAGCAUAAUUUAAAGAACUGUUGUUAUUAUAACUCGGAAGUCAAGGGGGGAAAAAAAGAGGAUUUUAAAAGCUUUCUGCAUGUAUGACUUUGUUAUGCUCAGCAAUUUUCACAUGGGGACUAAAAGCAAGAAUAAAACCAGGUGUGACACAGCACCCUGCCCCAGCUCAAAGAUGCCUUCUGAAAUCGUUCGGUCUGCCUGCAGUUGGGUGGGUAACUCUUGAGAGAGCUAGAAGUAGCAGGUGAGAGGGUUAAAUAAGCUUCUUAAACAACUUCCAUCCUGCCACUGCCCUGUUUUAAAAUCCCUGAAUUACUCACCAGCAGAACUGUUUAUUUCAUUAUUAAAAUGAGGCUGCAGAGCUCUCCCUUCUCCCACCCACGCAUGAUGUUCAUGGAAGGAGAACUACUCCCACGUGAUUACAAGGUGUCCCCCAUCAUGGGUACCUGGUACCUGGCUGCAGGAGCUGCUGACAGUAGGAAGCACAAGGGCAGAAGAUCCUGUGAGAUUUUGUGGUUCAAAGCCCACCUCAAAAAGUCACCAGCCAUAUCCUUUCCUCCAAUGAUGAACUGGAAAUGAGUCCCUGUGCUUGCUAGUGUCUGCUGGCCACGGAGAGAAUCUUUUAACCUGUGAACCAAGAUGACAACGGCAGACCUGUGGUCUUGUUUUGUCAGCGGGGAAAAGUCAGAGCAGCUGAAAGAGUAGAAAGAGCUGAAAGAGUUUAACUGCAGAGGACAGUUUAGCAUUGCUAUUUAUGUGAUCCUCAGGGUACAGAUGUUCUGCUGGGUAUUUCCAUCACUGUGACAAGCAGGCAGCAUUUUGUUCUUAUCAGGAUUUCCAAACGUCCGGGAUAUUGGAGCAGAAGAAACUGUAUCUUUCUAGAGCUUAUUUUUUAUGGAAUGUAUUAUGAAAAGGGGUCCUUAGGAAAUAGCAAGUCACCAGAAUGUUUAUUAAAAUGACCUUAAGGUCAGAUUCUGCCACUGUUAAUCACAACAGUUGUACCUUACUCUGUGAGCUUUCCCAUUGGAUUCGGCGGGAUUACUUAAGGAAUUUGGGUACUACCUGAUGGGACCAAAGUGGCAGAGAGGCUGGCCUUAAUAAUUGUAGCAGCUGUAAUGCGACAUUCCUUUGUUUUUACCUUACAUUUUAGCUAUUUAAAAAUAUGUUGCAUGAAAGUUAUUUUCUUUUCAAGAUUCCUUCUUCAAAAAUACAAAAGUUUAUGUAACAAAGAUAUUCUAUCAUUUUAAUCAACAUUUUAAUAUAUUUAUUGAUGUAGUGUGAAGUCACCUUUCCUGAGAAUAUGCUUCUGGUUUAGAACCUUCCCCUCUUUUUUUGUUCUAAAACAUUGCAUAAUAGGAAAAAGAAAAUCAUUUUACUCUGAAAUCUCCUUGAAAUUCUGCAGGUUUCACAAAGAUAGUUUCUAGGGUUUGUAUUUCUGUUUUAUUUUAAGUCACUUCUACCAAGUAGCCUGAUUUAGAAGCGGACAAUACCUCCUACUCUUUCUGACAUUAUAAAUAUUGAACUUGGUAUUCUAACAGCUGCAUGAAACAAAUGGGGAUGUUACAUAAUUCUGUAUAAGAAUGGGAAACUCACUUACAAAGAACCCCACAAAGAACCUACAAAGAACUUCCACGAAAUAAAGAGAUGAGCACUUAUUUACACACUUUUAUGCAGUGAGAGAAAGGGAUGCAAGAAUUUUUUAUUUUUUUUUCUUCAUUGGAGAAGAAAAUAAAUUUGGCUUAGGUUUCACUCUAAUAAAUAGGUUCCUUUCAGACAGUCACACCAACCACUUCCUAGGGUGUUUGUGAGAACAUUCUUAGCUUUGAUUGUUAGUUCAGGUUGUUGAACUUGAACUCUAGCUCUUGAGCACUGCAAGAAAGUAUUUUACUAAUAAAAGCUUUCAAUUUUCAGAAUAAUAAAGGUGUUCUUUUUAUAUUUU